UUAGGGUUGUGUACUCACGCGAAAGUCCCGCUUCUAGUUCAUUUUUCAAAUCUUCUAUUCAAAAUUUUGCUCAUAAUUUGAAUAAGAGGUUUGAGAAUUGAACUAGAAGCGGGACUUUUGCGGGAUCCCGUUUGCACCCUUACUCACCAGCCC